UACGUAGGUGGCAAGCGUUGUCCGGAAUUACUGGGCGUAAAGCGCGCGCAGGCGGUUUCUCAAGUCUGAUGUGAAAGCCCACGGCUCAACCGUGGAGGGUCAUUGGAAACUGGGGAACUUGAGUGCAGGAGAGAAGAGUGGAAUUCCACGUGUAGCGGUGAAAUGCGUAGAGAUGUGGAGGAACACCAGUGGCGAAGGCGACUCUUUGGCCUGUAACUGACACUGAGGCGCGAAAGCGUGGGGAGCAAACAGG
rnacentral:rRNA from 1 species